rnacentral:rRNA from 1 species
AAAAACAUCGCCUCCUGAAAAAAUAGGAGGUCCAGCCUGCCCAGUGACCAAGUUAAACGGCCGCGGUACCCUAACCGUGCGAAGGUAGCGCAAUCACUUGUUCUUUAAAUGAGGACUAGUAUGAACGGCAUCACGAGGGUCUCACUGUCUCCCCCCUCUAAUCAGUGAAACUGAUCUCCCCGUGAAGAAGCGGGGAUAAACCUAUAAGACGAGAAGACCCCAUGGAGCUUUAAACUCAAUUUCAACUACCAUCUAUAAACCACAAAAAACAGGUAGCCAUGACUAUUAGUUUUCGGUUGGGGUGACCACGGAGCAAAAUACAACCUCCAUGACGAAUGACUCUUUACCUCUAAUCAUAGAGUAACAACUCAAAGAAUCAAUAAAUUGACCCACUUGACCCAAAUUUUUGAUCAACGAACCAAGUUACCCUGGGGAUAACAGCGCAAUCCAUUUCAAGAGCCCCUAUCGACAAAUGGGUUUACGACCUCGAUGUUGGAUCAGGGUAUCCUAGUGGUGCAGCCGCUACUAAAGGUUCGUUUGUUCAACGAUUAAAACCCUACGUGAUCUGAGUUCA